rnacentral:rRNA from 1 species
AUUGAACGCUGGCGGAAUGCUUUACACAUGCAAGUCGAACGGCAGCACGGGGGCAACCCUGGUGGCGAGUGGCGAACGGGUGAGUAAUACAUCGGAACGUGCCCAGUCGUGGGGGAUAACGUAGCGAAAGUUACGCUAAUACCGCAUACGAUCUACGGAUGAAAGCGGGGGACCGUAAGGCCUCGCGCGAUUGGAGCGGCCGAUGUCAGAUUAGGUAGUUGGUGAGGUAAAGGCUCACCAAGCCGGCGAUCUGUAGCUGGUCUGAGAGGACGACCAGCCACACUGGGACUGAGACACGGCCCAGACUCCUACGGGAGGCAGCAGUGGGGAAUUUUGGACAAUGGGCGCAAGCCUGAUCCAGCCAUUCCGCGUGCAGGACGAAGGCCUUCGGGUUGUAAACUGCUUUUGUACGGAACGAAAAGGCUCUGGUUGAUAUCUGGGGCUCAUGACGGUACCGUAAGAAUAAGCACCGGCUAACUACGUGCCAGCAGCCGCCGUAA